rnacentral:rRNA from 1 species
CGUAGGGCGCAAGCGUUAUCCGGAAUUAUUGGGACGUAAAGAGCUUGUAGGCGGUUCGUCGCGUCUGGUGUGAAAGCCCAUCGCUUAACGGUGGGUUUGCGCCGGGUACGGGCGGGCUAGAGUGCAGUAGGGGAGACUGGAAUUCUCGGUGUAACGGUGGAAUGUGUAGAUAUCGGAGGAACACCAAUGGCGAAGGCAGGUCUCUGGGCUGUUACUGACGCUGAGAGCGAAAGCGUGGGGAGCGAACAGGAUU